rnacentral:rRNA from 1 species
UACGUAGGGGGCGAGCGUUGUCCGGAUUUAUUGGGCGUAAAGAGCUCGUAGGCGGCUUGGCAAGUCGGGUGUGAAACCUCCAGGCUCAACCUGGAGACGCCACCCGAUACUGUCGUGACUAGAGUCCAGUAGGGGAGCGUGGAAUUCCUGGUGUAGCGGUGAAAUGCGCAGAUAUCAGGAGGAACACCAGCGGCGAAGGCGGCGCUCUGGGCUGGAACUGACGCUGAGGAGCGAAAGCGUGGGGAGCGAACAGG